rfam:Oscillibacter sp. 1-3 genomic scaffold acPPL-supercont1.1, whole genome shotgun sequence.
GAGAGCCGUAUACUCCGAGAGGGGUACGUGCGGUUCGGAGGGGAGGGAGCCGAAACCUGCCGGGCGCAACUCGGUAAGGCGCGGCUGCCCUUACCCUAU